rnacentral:rRNA from 1 species
GAUGAACGCUGGCGGCGUGCCUAAUACAUGCAAGUCGAGCGAACGGACGAGAAGCUUGCUUCUCUGAUGUUAGCGGCGGACGGGUGAGUAACACGUGGAUAACCUACCUAUAAGACUGGGAUAACUUCGGGAAACCGGAGCUAAUACCGGAUAAUAUUUUGAACCGCAUGGUUCAAAAGUGAAAGACGGUCUUGCUGUCACUUAUAGAUGGAUCCGCGCUGCAUUAGCUAGUUGGUAAGGUAACGGCUUACCAAGGCAACGAUGCAUAGCCGACCUGAGAGGGUGAUCGGCCACACUGGAACUGAGACACGGUCCAGACUCCUACGGGAGGCAGCAGUAGGGAAUCUUCCGCAAUGGGCGAAAGCCUGACGGAGCAACGCCGCGUGAGUGAUGAAGGUCUUCGGAUCGUAAAACUCUGUUAUUAGGGAAGAACAUAUGUGUAAGUAACUGUGCACAUCUUGACGGUACCUAAUCAGAAAGCCACGGCUAACUACGUGCCAGCAGCCGCGGUAAUACGUAGGUGGCAAGCGUUAUCCGGAAUUAUUGGGCGUAAAGCGCGCGUAGGCGGUUUUUUAAGUCUGAUGUGAAAGCCCACGGCUCAACCGUGGAGGGUCAUUGGAAACUGGAAAACUUGAGUGCAGAAGAGGAAAGUGGAAUUCCAUGUGUAGCGGUGAAAUGCGCAGAGAUAUGGAGGAACACCAGUGGCGAAGGCGACUUUCUGGUCUGUAACUGACGCUGAUGUGCGAAAGCGUGGGGAUCAAACAGGAUUAGAUACCCUGGUAGUCCACGCCGUAAACGAUGAGUGCUAAGUGUUAGGGGGUUUCCGCCCCUUAGUGCUGCAGCUAACGCAUUAAGCACUCCGCCUGGGGAGUACGACCGCAAGGUUGAAACUCAAAGGAAUUGACGGGGACCCGCACAAGCGGUGGAGCAUGUGGUUUAAUUCGAAGCAACGCGAAGAACCUUACCAAACCUUGACAUCCUUUGACAACUCUAGAGAUAGAGCUUUCCCCUUCGGGGGACAAAGUGACAGGUGGUGCAUGGUUGUCGUCAGCUCGUGUCGUGAGAUGUUGGGUUAAGUCCCGCAACGAGCGCAACCCUUAAGCUUAGUUGCCAUCAUUAAGUUGGGCACUCUAAGUUGACUGCCGGUGACAAACCGGAGGAAGGUGGGGAUGACGUCAAAUCAUCAUGCCCCUUAUGAUUUGGGCUACACACGUGCUACAAUGGACAAUACAAAGGGCAGCGAAACCGCGAGGUCAAGCAAAUCCCAUAAAGUUGUUCUCAGUUCGGAUUGUAGUCUGCAACUCGACUACAUGAAGCUGGAAUCGCUAGUAAUCGUAGAUCAGCAUGCUACGGUGAAUACGUUCCCGGGUCU